ACGCAGGUGGGAGGUUGAUCGAGGCGGGGCCUCCGGAGCCGGGUGCGCAGGUUCGAAUCCUGCAGGGGGCACCA
rnacentral:tRNA from 1 species